rnacentral:rRNA from 1 species
UACAGAGGUCUCAAGCGUUGUUCGGAUUCAUUGGGCGUAAAGGGUGCGUAGGCGGCGCGGUAAGUCGGGUGUGAAAUCUCGGGGCUUAACUCCGAAACUGCAUUCGAUACUGCCGUGCUUGAGGACUGGAGAGGAGACUGGAAUUUACGGUGUAGCGGUGAAAUGCGUAGAUAUCCUAAGGAACACCGGUGGCGAAAGCGGCGUACUGGGUCUUUUCUGACGCUGAGGCACGAAAGCUAGGGUAGCGAACGGG